ensembl:lncRNA
ACACACCCUAUGCCUUCAAAGCUUCCUCAAGUCCAGGCUCCUACUGCCCCUCCACUCUCCAGGAGACCUGCCCUUCCCUACUUUUGGGGUCCCCCAACCCUAUCAUGCUCAGGGCCCUGACACCUCCCAGGGCUCCCAAAGACUCCCAGGGUGCCCCCACUGCUCAGGCCACCAUAUUCUUCCAGUUCCCCAGUAGGGAAACAUUCAGUGCAGAUUGACUGAGUGUCUACGAUGUGGAAGGGACUUCCCAGGUGGCUCAGUGGUCAAGAAUCCGCCUGCCCAUGUAGGAGUCUCAGGAGACACGGGUUCGAUUCCUGGGUGGGGAAGAUCCCCUGGAGGAGGCCAUGGCAACCCAUUCCAGUAUUCUUGCCUGGAGAACCCAUGGACAGAGGAGCCUGGCGGGCUACAGUCCAUGGGAUCACGAAGAGUCAGACACGACUGAGAGACUUUCCACGUAAGAUGUGGAAAGCUCUGCUGGAGGCUGCAGUACACCUCGGCGGUGGCGGUCCCCAGCCCGAGGAUGCCAGCGCCAGACAGUUCCUGGCGCGGCUGAAAGCUCGCCCCCUGGCGGCCCGAGCUGCGGCCGACGUGGCGGCGCUGGUACGCAGGGCCGGCGCCACCUUGCGCCUGCGCCCCAAGGAGGGUGCGUGAUGGGGCGUGGCCUUCCAGGGGCGUGGUCGGAGUGCAGCCUGGUUCCGAGGGGGCGGGCCCAGGAUUAUUAGUUACUCCCCUUGGUGGGAGGGCUUCCCUGGUGUCUCAGAGGGUAAAGCGUCUACCCGCAAUGCGGGAGACCUAGGUUCGCUCCCGGGUCAGGAAGAUCCCCUGGAGAAGGAAAUGGCUAACCCACUCCAGUACUCUUUCAUGGAAAGUUCCACGGUCGGAGGGGCCUGGUAGGCUACAGUCCAUGGCAUCGCAAAGAAUCGUACACGACCCUUAGAAUACCAGAAGGACAAUGACAUCAUGGAUUUGUCCCAAGAUGCCCUUGCCUCCUAGGAAGAGUUCCUGGCAUGUCAAGUACAGUCGGUUUUAAAAGCCUUGCGUUGUACUUCCCUGGUCGUGCAGUGGCUAAUGUUCAAGGCUCCCAAUGUAGGGGGCCAGGUUCAGUUACCUUGGGGAAUUGGAUCCUAAGUAACUAAGACCUUGCACAGCCAAAUAAAUAAGUAUUA